rnacentral:rRNA from 1 species
UACGUAGGGUGCAAGCGUUGUCCGGAAUUAUUGGGCGUAAAGAGCUCGUAGGCGGUUCGUCGCGUCGGCUGUGAAAUCCCGAGGCUCAACCUCGGGUCUGCAGUCGAUACGGGCGGACUGGAGUACUGCAGGGGAGACUGGAAUUCCUGGUGUAGCGGUGAAAUGCGCAGAUAUCAGGAGGAACACCGGUGGCGAAGGCGGGUCUCUGGGCAGUUGACUGACGCUGAGGAGCGAAAGCGUGGGGAGCGGACAGG